AUUUUCUGAUGUGCACUAGCUUUAUGGCUCUCGGAUUGAAGAUUUCACUGAAAGGAAUCAGGGUUGUUUCCUCUGUUUAAAUCAACCACCACGAGUUUCACCAUAAAUAAGCCGCUCCUGAAAGAACAUGAUUCUUGAAAACAGAGACCCUAAUGGCGUUAUUAAGGAUCAUUUGGGAACCCGAUUCAAUCAAGUAAUAUCGGAACCAAAAACCUUGGAAUCGCAUGCCCUAUUCUGGUACCCUAGCACCCUCUGUUACGACCGGUGGCGUCUGUUUGUCUAUCAGUGCUUGACCUGCUGCACCGGGCCUUGCAUAACCAAUUAUUUCGCCGCUGUAAUUGGUUAUUUGACCUUUUUAAUGGUCUGGGUAAUACAGCCAUUUUGUCGUCUGCAAGAAACCUGCGUCGAAUCACUCAUCGCCGUUACUCGUCCACUUUGCCAGGGGCAUUGUUCGUGCGUGAAAAAAGCAGGAAAAGCUGUUUUAAAAGGUGUCAAAGAUACCGUUAGUGUCCUUGUUAAGAAGUCGGGUUCAAUCCUUGAUAUAUAGACUAUUGAGCUGAACAUGCUAGAAUUCUGAAGAAAACAAUUCUUUAAAUUCUUUACUUUUUAUGAUAAUACAUGUAUUUGCGUGUAUUGGUAUUUGACAUUGACCUGCUUCUGAAGACAUGUUUUAUGUUAAAAUGCAUUAGUAAUUAGAUAGAACUUCACGGCAAAAUAUUUCCUACUAAACAAAUAAGUAAUUAGUUACCUGUUAUUCGCCAACACACUACCCUAAAAACCAGAUCCGGCCGUUGACAGUUUUUCAAAACAAAAAUUAUACUCUACCUGUAAUUGCCGUACAAUGGCCAUGGUCGUAUGGUAUUUUUAGACAUAAUAUUCAAUCAUGCCUGUACAAGCACAAAACAUCAGCCUCUCUCUCUCUCCCUCCCCCCCCCCAUCCCAUUUUUACUUUUUUUCUCGCAGCAAUCAAUUUUCCGACAUUUACAUAUAGAAAAUUAAAUGAAUAUAGAGCCCUCCCCCCUCCUCUGUCCCACUUUUUUGGAGCACGUAAAAAUGUGAAAAUUAGAAUAUUAACACUGAAAUUGAAGUUACAGGUAUAUGGGGGCUAACCCCACCCCCCCUCCCAUCCCUUCCAUUUUCUAAAACAAUGUUGUGUCUGAUGUUUGUGUUGAUGUGGCUGUCUUGCUUUAUCAGAUGUACAUGUAUACAUAGUUUGAACUUGUAAAGCCUAAAGACUACUUGAUAGGUCGAAAUAAAAUCCAACACUGACAAGAGAGCUUGUUCGAUUCUCCAAAAUUCACUUUUAUUAUUUAUAUAAUAAUUGAUAAUAAUUGUUCUAUUUAAACCAACCAUUGGCAGUCGAACUAUCGAACUACAGAAAAAUAAUGCCAAAUCAAUUUUGUUGUUAUAUAUUUACCGGUCAUAAAUGUACAAUAUUCCAAGAAUAAUUACUUUAACUACAAUUGCUCACAUUAAUGUAUUUAAUUUCCCCUAUCUCCCAAAAUCUGUGUUAAAAAAACCCCACACACACAGGAGUGCGCUCAGAAUGUUGAAUUUAAGUAUUUAAAAUUUGUCUCCUUGAAGAAUUCUAAUUUUGGCAAUUAUUAAACUAUGUUAAUUAUACGAUAAUUAAAAAAAAAAUUGUAGCUUUAUUUAUCAACUUUAACAGUUACAGGUAUACAUGUUAAGCUAAUAAUUACCCCCCCCCCCUUUCCGAACAUCUUAGUAGUCGAUUCGAUAAGAUCCAUGUUCAUUGUGCCCAUUUGAUUUGACUUUUGCUUUUUGAAUUAAACUUUGUCAAAAAUGAUACAAUAAAUGCAUUGUAUAAACUCU
rnacentral:sRNA from 1 species